rnacentral:sRNA from 1 species
UUAUAAAAUCUGGAGGUAGAAACCCUCGUUUGUCCAGAGAACAGGUACAGCACAGCUAGCACCAGUGCAAAUCUUAUCACACUGUCCCACCAAGAUGCUGUAGCCCUCACCUGAAAUGACUGCCUGGAGAGGCUUUAGUCUCCAUGCCCAAUCUUUGGGGUCU